rnacentral:rRNA from 1 species
UACGUAGGGGGCAAGCGUUAUCCGGAUUCAUUGGGCGUAAAGCGCGCGUAGGCGGCUUGUUAAGUCAGAUGUGAAAACCGGGGGCUCAACCCGCGGCCUGCAUCUGAAACUGACAGGCUUGAGUCUGGUAGAGGAAAGUGGAAUUCCUGGUGUAGCGGUGAAAUGCGCAGAUAUCAGGAGGAACACCAGUGGCGAAGGCGGCUUUCUGGGCCACGACUGACGCUGAGGCGCGAAAGCUAGGGGAGCGAAC